ensembl:lncRNA
UAGUCAAAGCUAUCAUUUUUCCAGCAGUCAUGUAUGCAUGUGAGAGUUGGACCAUAAAGAAAGCUGAAUGCUGAAGAAUUGAUGCUUUUGAACUGUGGUGUUGGAGAAGACUCUUGAGAGAGUCCCUUCAACUGCUAGGAUAUCAAACCAGUCAAUCCUAAAGGAAAUCAACCCUGACUAUUCACUGGAAGGUCUGAUGCUGAAGCUGAAACUCCAGUACUUUGCCACUGAUGAGAAGAGCUGACUUAUUGGAAAAGACCCACAUGCUGGGAAAGAUUGAAGAUUCCCUGAAAGAAUCCGAAGUAUUCUCAGGAUCCAUGGACCACGUUUUUGGAGACAUUGCUAAUAUUUUUUUUAUUUUAAGAGAUAAGCUCUCCUCCACUGUGGACUACACAUCAAGCGCAGUUCGAAGGCAGUUCUCACUUAACUUUGACAACGAUCAUGCCUCCUUUUCCAAAUGACAUCUGCCUAAUAUGUCAUUGGUGACUACAUCCAAGUAAACAUGUGGAAAAUGAAAGCAAGUGGGUGUGUGGGCUCAGAGGGAAUUGCUUGUUUGGGGAAUGAUGGGAGAGUGCAGUUCUGGAAGGAGUUCAGUGCUAUGAGUGUGUAUUUCUAGUCUUCAAAAGAUUACCACAUACAUGCUGUCAUACAAUUUAUAAUGUGCCCAAGGAGGUUAGCUUAAUAUAGAGAAGAAACAUGGGUUUUGCACUCAGCCAGGCCUGGGUUCUAAUACCAGCUCAGUUGCUACUGUCUAUGUGAUCUCUUCCAUGUUACCUUUACAUGAAUUGUUCCAUCUGAAAAUGAAGCUACAGUGCUUAGAGCAGUAUGAUGUUAGGCAUUUAAAGAAUGAGACAUUGGGUGGAUGCUCCCAUGUGCCAUGCAUAUCUUCCCUCAGGUAUGGACUUACUUCCCCAGCUGCAGAGAGUACUACCAAUGAUAGCCCUUGAUGUCGGUCCUUAGCAAAAUAAAACUGCUUUGCUCAAUGUCACUCCUCCUCUCAAGAGAUGACCCACUUCCAAUAACUAACCAAUGGUCUUGCCAACUCAUCCCAACAUGGUGUAGCUCUGAAAGGCCUUGUUAGGAAUGUAUCAUAGCUCAACUUCUCACUCUGUUCCACCCUGUCUUUCCUCUCCCUGGCCUUCCACAAACACCAACCUCAAAGAACUCUUAAAUAAAAUUGUGAGUGCUAAGUUUCAAGUAAGAGUCUGGUUUCACGACUGAGUGACUGAACUGAAUUGAAAUUCAACUUGAAGUAUUAGUCAUUCAGUUGUGUCUGACUCUUUGUGAUCCCAUGGACCGUAUAGUCCACCAGGCUCCUU